rnacentral:rRNA from 1 species
UACAGAGGGUGCGAGCGUUGUCCGGAAUCACUGGGCGUAAAGGGCGCGUAGGUGGCGCCGCAAGUCCAUGGUGAAAGCUCGAUGCUCAACAUCGAGUCGGCCACGGAGACUGCGGGGCUCGAGGCGACUGGUAGGGGCAGAUGGAAUUCCGGGUGUAGCGGUGGAAUGCGUAGAGAUCCGGAAGAACACCGGUGGCGAAGGCGGUCUGCUGGGCAGUUGCUGACACUGAG